AUUGAACGCUGGCGGCAGGCCUAACACAUGCAAGUCGAACGGUAACAGGAAACAGCUUGCUGUUUCGCUGACGAGUGGCGGACGGGUGAGUAAUGUCUGGGAAACUGCCUGAUGGAGGGGGAUAACUACUGGAAACGGUAGCUAAUACCGCAUAACGUCGCAAGACCAAAGAGGGGGACCUUCGGGCCUCUUGCCAUCGGAUGUGCCCAGAUGGGAUUAGCUAGUAGGUGGGGUAACGGCUCACCUAGGCGACGAUCCCUAGCUGGUCUGAGAGGAUGACCAGCCACACUGGAACUGAGACACGGUCCAGACUCAUACGGGAGGCAGCAGUGGGGAAUAUUGCACAAUGGGCGCAAGCCUGAUGCAGCCAUGCCGCGUGUAUGAAGAAGGCCUUCGGGUUGUAAAGUACUUUCAGCGGGGAGGAAGGGAGUAAAGUUAAUACCUUUACUCAUUGACGUUACCCGCAGAAGAAGCACCGGCUAACUCCGUG
rnacentral:rRNA from 1 species